GUGGGGAAUCUUCCGCAAUGGACGAAAGUCUGACGGAGCGACGCCGCGUGAGUGAAGAAGGCCUUCGGGUCGUAAAGCUCUGUCAUCAGGGACGAACGGCCGGUGGAGUGGAAAGCCACCGGAUUGACGGUACCUGAGAAGGAAGCCACGGCUAACUACGUGCCAGCAGCCGCGGUAAUACGUAGGUGGCAAGCGUUGUCCGGAAUUAUUGGGCGUAAAGCGCGCGCAGGUGGGAUCUUAAGUCCAUUUUUAAAGUUCGGAGCUCAACUCCGUGAUGGGAUGGAAACUGGGAUUCUUGAGUACCGGAGAGGAAAGCGGAAUUCCCCGUGUAGCGGUGAAAUGCGUAGAUAUGGGGAGGAACACCAGUGGCGAAGGCGGCUUUCUGGACGGUGUCUGACACUGAGGCGCGAAAGCCAGGGGAGCGAACGGGAUUAGAAACCCUGGUAGUCC
rnacentral:rRNA from 1 species